UACAGAGGGGGCAAGCGUUGUUCGGAAUUACUGGGCGUAAAGGGCGCGUAGGCGGCCCGCUAAGUCGAACGUGAAAUCCCCGGGCUCAACCCGGGAACUGCGUCCGAUACUGGCGGGCUUGAAUCCGGGAGAGGGAUGCGGAAUUCCAGGUGUAGCGGUGAAAUGCGUAGAUAUCUGGAGGAACACCGGUGGCGAAGGCGGCAUCCUGGACCGGCAUUGACGCUGAGGCGCGAAAGCCAGGGUAGCGAACCGG
rnacentral:rRNA from 1 species